rnacentral:rRNA from 1 species
CGGCGGACGGGUGAGUAAUGCCUAGGAAUCUGCCUGGUAGUGGGGGACAACGUUUCGAAAGGAACGCUAAUACCGCAUACGUCCUACGGGAGAAAGCAGGGGACCUUCGGGCCUUGCGCUAUCAGAUGAGCCUAGGUCGGAUUAGCUAGUUGGUGAGGUAACGGCUUACCAAGGCAACGAUGCAUAGCCGACCUGAGAGGGUGAUCGGCCACACUGGAACUGAGACACGGUCCAG